UCUUUUUUAUGAUGGAGAUCAUCUUUAAAUUAUUUGUCUUCCGCCUGGAGUUCUUUCACCACAAGUUUGAGAUCCUGGAUGCCGUCGUGGNGGUGGUCUCAUUCAUCCUCGACAUUGUCCUCCUGUUCCAGGAGCACGAGUUUGAGGCUCUGGGCCUGCUGAUUCUGCUCCGGCUGUGGCGGGUGGCCCGGAUCAUCAAUGGGAUUAUCAUCUCAGUUAAGACACGUUCAGAACGGCAACUCUUAAGGUUAAAACAGAUGAAUGUACAAUUGGCCGCCAAGAUUCAACACCUUGAGUUCAGCUGCUCUGAGAAGGUAAGACGACACAUCUGGGGACCGG
rnacentral:lncRNA from 1 species